CAUGUGCUCCAUGUCGGGGUAGAGAACACCAUAGGAGGUCCAUGUGCUCCAUGCUGGGGUAGAGAACACCAUAGGAGGUCCAUGUGCUCCAUGCUGGGGCAGAGAACACCAUAGGAGGUCCAUGUGCUCCAUGUUGGGGUAGAGAACACCAUAGGAGGUCCAUGUGCUCCAUGUUGGGGUAGAGAACACCAUAGGAGGUCCAUGUGCUCCAUGUUGGGGUAGAGAACACCAUAGGAGGUCCAUGUGCUCCAUGCUGGGGCAGAGAACACCAUAGGAGGUCCAUGGGAGCUGGUGGAGGUGGCUGGAGCUCCACGAAGUAGCCACGGGCAUGUGUUGCUGUUGCUCCCACAGUGGAGAACUUGUGAUGGAGAGGAAGGUCCUGCUGGGACUGGUCCUUGGUCCAGCCCCGUAGUGGGGAACAGGAGCGAUGGGUUUGGACUGGAUCCAGCACAGCAGCUUAAAACCAGUUCCAUUUAUCUCCAUCCCAUGUUUCUGAGCCCUUACACAGACCUUUAGCUGAGCUGGGCUCUUCCAAACACCCAAACGGCAUCCCAAAUUCAGGAUUCUACCAUGCAGUGAUGACCCGUAGCCAUUUUCCAAGGUUCUCCUGGAGGCAACUGGACAGUUGGAAUCACGGAGGAUCCAGGUUUCAGUUUUCCUUCCAACGGAAAGAACUAACUUGUUAAAGCAGGGGAAGUUUUCGGAUAAGCUCAUUCCUCUGUCAAUAGAUUCCAUCACCAGCAGCCAAUGGGAAGCUGUGCCCAGACAGGUAUUGAUUUUUGGUAUGUAUAAGUACAGCCAGAAUUCCAGUUAUGGAAUUCAGCCCCACAAAACCAAUCCCAGAGCAAAUAUUUGGCACCGUUCCCAUGAGGAGCAAAAGAGAUGGGGGGGGGGGGGA